rnacentral:lncRNA from 1 species
CCUCUCCUCCUGUCCUGUCCAGUACAGUCCUGUCCUCUCACCUGUCCUCUCCUCCUGUCCUGUCCUCUCCUCCUGUCCUCUCCUCCUGUCCUCUCCUCUCCUCCUGUCCUUUCCUCUCCUCCUGUCCUGUCCAGUACAGUCCUGUCCUCUCCUCCUGUCCUCUCCUCCUGUCCUGUCCUCUCCUCCUGUCCUGUCCUCUCCUCCUGUCCUCUCCUCCUGUCCUCUCCUCUCCUCCUGUCCUGUCCUCUCCUCCUGUCCUCUCCUCCUGUCCUCUCCUCCUGUCCUCUCCUCUCGUCCUGUCCUGUCCUCUCCUCCUGUCCUCUCCUCCUGUCCAGUACAGUCCUGUCCUUUCCUCCUGUCCUAUCCUGUUCUGUCCUCUCCUCUCCUCCUGUCCUGUCCUCUCCUCCUGUCCUCUCCUCCUGUCCAGUACAGUCCUGUCCAGUACAGUCCUGUCCUUUCCUCCUGUCCUAUCCUGUUCUGUCCUCUCCUCUCCUCCUGUCCUGUCCUCUCCUCCUGUCCUCUCCUCCUGUCCAGUACAGUCCUGUCCUUUCCUCCUGUCCUAUCCUGUUCUGUCCUCUCCUCUCCUCCUGUCCUCUCCUCCUGUCCUCUCCUCCUGUCCAGUACAGUCCUGUCCAGUACAGUCCUGUCCUUUUUCAUCCUGUCCUAUCCUGUUCUGUCCUCUCCUCUCCUCCUGUCCUGUCCUCUCCUCCUGUCCUCUCCUCCUGUCCAGUACAGUCCUGUCCUUUCCUCCUGUCCUAUCCUGUUCUGUCCUCUCCUCUCCUCCUGUCCUCUCCUCCUGUCCUCUCCUCCUGUCCAGUACAGUCCUGUCCAGUACAGUCCUGUCCUUUUCUCCUGUCCUAUCCUGUUCUGUCCUCUCCUCUCCUCCUGUCCAGUGCUCUCCUCUGCUCUUGUCCUGUCUAGUACAGCCCAGUCUAGUCCUGUCCAGUCCUGGCUACCACAGCAUUGUAUUGAGACAUGUCUAACUAGUAGCCUGCCUGGUUAUUAUUCCCCUGCUUUAGUGUUUUGACCCCCUGGCCAUAUUUCUGAGGCUCAGUGCUCCUGACACAGUCCGUCUGGCAGAUGAGAAUGGGAGGGAGAA